GUCGAACGCACUCUUCGGAGUGAGUGGCAGACGGGUGAGUAACGCGUGGGAAUCUACCUAGUUCUACGGAACAACAGUUGGAAACGACUGCUAAUACCGUAUACGCCCUACGGGGGAAAGAUUUAUCGGAAUUAGAUGAGCCCGCGUAAGAUUAGCUAGUUGGUGGGGUAAUGGCCUACCAAGGCGACGAUCUUUAGCUGGUCUGAGAGGAUGAUCAGCCACACUGGGACUGAGACACGGCCCAGACUCCUACGGGAGGCAGCAGUGGGGAAUAUUGGACAAUGGGCGCAAGCCUGAUCCAGCCAUGCCGCGUGAGUGAUGAAGGCCUUAGGGUUGUAAAGCUCUUUCAGUAGGGAAGAUAAUGACGGUACCUACAGAAGAAGCCCCGGCUAACUUCGUGCCAGCAGCCGCGGUAAUACGAAGGGGGCUAGCGUUGUUCGGAUUUACUGGGCGUAAAGCGCACGUAGGCGGAUUGGUCAGUUAGAGGUGAAAUCCGAAGCUCAACUUCGGAACUGCCUUUAAUACUGCCAGUCUAGAGUCCGGAAGAGGUAGGUGGAACUCUUAGUGUAAAGUUGGAAUUCGUAAAUAUUAGGAAGAAC
rnacentral:rRNA from 1 species